rnacentral:rRNA from 1 species
CAUUACAAGUGAGGCUACCGAACGUUGGAAACAGCGGUUAGGAGCUUACACCCACCCGUGUUUACAUACUAUUGUUGCUUUGGCGGGCCGUGGCCUCCACUGCGGGCUCUGCUCGUGUGUGCCCGCCAGAGAACCAAACUCUGAAUGUUAGUGAUGUCCGAGUACUAUCUAAUAGUUAAAACUUUCAACAACGGAUCUCUUGGUUCUGGCAUCGAUGAAGAACGCAGCGAAAUGCGAUAAGUAAUGUGAAUUGCAGAAUUCAGUGAAUCAUCGAAUCUUUGAACGCACAUUGCGCCCUGUGGUAUUCCGCAGGGCAUGCCUGUUCGAGCGUCAUUUAACCACUCACGCCUAGCGUGGUAUUGGGGCACGCGGUCUCCGCGGCCCUCAAAAUUAGUGGCGGCGCCGGUGGGCUCUAAGCGUAGUACAUACUCCCGCUAUAGAGUUCCCCCCGGUGGCUCGCCAGAACCCCAAUUUUUUACAGGUUG